CAUGGUGAUGGUGACUUGAUGGCAGGCAUGCCUGAUUUUCUUGCUUGACUUUCAAUACCAAUUUCUUUCUUUCAUGCAGGAAUUAUUAAAGGGCGGUUGGAGUCGGACUCCAAACAAAGGAGAAACACAGAGUUAUCCACCUGUGAGCGCAUUGCUGAGUUGGACAGCACAAAGGGCGAUGAGGAAGGGCUUUUAAGUGUCCAACACCCUUAUAGUGGACGGAGGGAGAGAUCGACAUAGUUUCCCUGUGACUAAAGGAUAAAGAAGCCUCUGACUCUGUACUGGGACUCCAACACUCUUCGAAUGCAGUUGCAUGUGUGCAUGUGUGCAUUUUGAAUAACCAUAUUAUUUAUUAUUUAUUAUGGUUAGUGUUUUUGGUGUUGUUUCUACAACUAUAGAAAUAUAUUUAUAUCCAUCUCCAGUGUUCUCCAACAUUUGAACAGAAAGGAAAAUGACCUUUUACAGUUAUAAUUGAUAAUUAUGUGGGGUGCCAAUUGUAACAUGGCAUAUGGAAAUCAACAGCAAAAUUGCUCUACAUUUAGAGUCCCACAAUGUAAAAAAAAAAAAAAAUUAUGUUGGAAACUAUGAGGGACUCAGCAGCAUUCGGUGAAGUGGAUGAGUUUUAUAUAUACAAUCGUCUCUGCUUGCAGUGAGAUGAAAUUACCUGGGUGAGCCAAUGAUGGUGAAGGCAGAUAGUGAAUACAGAGGACGUUAAACUGAUACCGGUAGGUGCAGCUUUACAAAGAGUUCAUGUUCACACGGAAAUGGACUCACCCAAAAAAAACAAACAGUCUGAGUCCCACAUUUGACUCUUACGGUACAUUAACGCACUCGUCUUACAGGUAGCCACAACAUUUCCAGGCAACUACAUCUGGACCAGCAGGUAUUUAACCACAACCUACUUCCUUCUUGCUUUACAUUUUUAUGCUUUUGAAAGAAAGACCACCACUCGCUUUCCUUUGACUAUUUUAAAAUUGACUUAAACUUGGUAUGAUAACUUAUUUUUGAUUUGAAUAUAGAAAUUAUUCCAUAAUGUCCAUUAUUUUGAAUGUGUUGUGGAUGAUCACGAUAAGAGGCUCU
rnacentral:lncRNA from 1 species